rnacentral:rRNA from 1 species
AGCUCCAAUAGCGUAUAUUAAAGUUGUUGCUAUUAAAAAGCCCGUAGUUGAAUUUGAGGAGUAAAGUUUAGGUCCAUUGAAAGAUGAGUACUUUAACUUUAUUCCUUCCCUUGUAGUGAACUAUAUUGAAGAAAUUUGGUAUAGGGAACUAUGAAUUUUACCUUGAGAAAAUUAGAGUGUUCAAAGCAGGCCUACGCCGGAAUACAUUAGCAUGGAAUAAUAAAAUAGGACGAGUGAUUCUAUUUUGUUGGUUUAUAGAACCACCGUAAUGAUUAAUAGGAACAGUUGGGGGCAUUAGUAUUCAGUUGCUAGAGGUGAAAUUCUUGGAUUUACUGAAGACUAACUACUGCGAAAGCAUUUGCCAAGGAUGUUUUCAUUAAUAAAGGACGAUGGUUGGGGGAUCGAAAAUGAUUAGAUACCGUUGUAGUCCCAACAGUAAACUAUGCCGACUGAGGAUUGGAUGACGUUAUAUUAUUGACUCAUUCAGCACUCUGCGAGAAAUCAAAGUUUUUGGGCUUAGGGGGGAGUAUGGUCG